AAAAAAAUUAUAUAAUGAAAAAUAUGUAUAUUUUGAGUCCAUUUUUAUAUAAAAACUCCAAUAACAUCGUAAAACAAAUAUUCUCGAUCGACGUCAACUUCUUCUUUCGUUUUUCGACGGAAAGUUCGUUGCAGGAGAGAGACGAGCAGACAGAAAUUUCAUGCAGAACUAUUUUAUGACCUUAUCAUUUUCUUGGUGCGCAUUGAUACAUUUCCGGCUGGACACUAAGAAUUUUUUCACCUGCUGAAAGGGAGACUUGAGACUGUUGAUGUUCCAAUACCUUAGGCUUAUGUCCUGUCUAUGUAACCGCUGCAAUUUGGAGAUUCAAGAAUAAACUCCUAAAGGCCCGGGUGAGUUAUUUUUGUCAUCUGUGUUUGAUGUCUCUGAUGUCUAAUGUUCAUGAGGGCAAAAGGAUCGAAUUUGGAAAUAUCAUCAAUAUUAUAAGCAACAUUUAUUUUUGUUCACCUAGCUUGUUUCUGUUACUCGUUUACAGAUAUUUAGAGCCAUCGAUAUGCCAUUUAUUGUUUGGUACGAAAGUAUUAAAACUUUAAAGUGUGACUGUCAUAGACAGAUUAAUUUAGUUGGGUCUCUAAUUAUAUGUUCAUUUAAAAGUCCUUUUAACAUUUGUCAGAAUUGGCGUAGUUGUUGUGAUAUUUUUAUCUCGUAGUGUUUAAUUAGAAAUAGUGUAAGAUAGAGUUAAUGAAUUACAGAAAA